CCCAACUCUCCACCUUCACUGAGCAGGAGCAGCAGAUGAAAAACCUGGAGAAACUCACCCUUCAGUUACAUCAUAUGACAUGUGAGAGAAAUGAGCUACGCGGAAUCCUGGCCAAUUAUGGCAACAAGGAUUUGAACAACAGUUACUACCAUGGCAAGAUCCUACGAGAAUGUAUUCAGCUGAAGAAAAAUGUACAGGUGUCAAGACUGAAGAACAGAUUGCUGCGGAAGGAGCAGAUUGAACUGCAAGAGUCCUGUGAGGAGGUGAAGAGGCUCUUUAAGGAGAUCCAUGAGAAGAUCUGUGACCCCUGUGCUGAGCAACAUCAGGAGGAAGACAACAUGGAUGAAAGCCUGAAGAACCUGCAUAAGCAAGAGGAGGUGGUCACCCAGCAAAGGGAACUUGCAGAAAAGCUGCAGAAUCACGUCAAUAUCUCUGAAAUGAGGCCAGAAAAUCUCCAAACCCAGCUGGAACAGGCUACAGACCAGGAAGACAGCCUCCUGCAGACAGCUCCUGAAGCCGGAGCAAUAGGUGUCACAGGCAAGUGAGCCACCUUUGCAUCCUGACCCCUUCAACCCAAGUAUUGGUGUUGGGUGGGGGGAUCUUGCCUUUGGCUGCUUCUGUGUGAAUAGCCCCUGGUUUGGUCUAGCCUAUGACCCAGCCAGGCUGCUUCUGGGACUGAUUGCCUUUCUUUCUAACACAGCUCCUGAGAGACCUGAGGAGCCCAAAGAAGCCACCAACAACUUGAACCAUGGCAAUGUCUCCCCUAGGAUCAAAGCCUCCUCCUCAGAAGACAACCUGCAAAGCCCCAAGGAGGCAUGACUAUCUUGGCUUUGAAAAGGCUUUUUACAAUUGGUGACUGCCUUCCUACCAUGUUUCCAAAGCCAACCACAGCUGCAGAUCUGUGCUACAAAAUGUGUAGAAAGAUUACGUUAGUUCUUUAUUUAAACAGUCUGUUCAGUUGAGUUGUUUUGAUUGUUGUUUUAU
rnacentral:lncRNA from 1 species